rnacentral:rRNA from 1 species
UACGUAGGUGGCAAGCGUUGUCCGGAUUUAUUGGGUUUAAAGGGUGCGUAGGAGGGCAGGUAAGUCAGUGGUGAAAUCCCCGAGCUUAACUUGGGAACUGCCGUUGAUACUAUCUGUCUUGAAUACCGUGGAGGUGAGCGGAAUAUGUCAUGUAGCGGUGAAAUGCUUAGAUAUGACAUAGAACACCAAUUGCGAAGGCAGCUCGCUACACGAAUAUUGACUCUGAGGCACGAAAGCGUGGGGAUCAAACAGG